GUCACAGCCCCUGGGGCCCCGCCUCUGCAGGCGGAGACCCCAGGCAGCGCGGUGGACUACCCCCUGCAUGACCUUGUCCUCCACACCAACUACACCGCCACAGUGCGUGGCCUGCGGGGCCCCAACCUCACUUCCCCAGCCAGCAUCACCUUCACCACAGGGCUAGAGGCCCCUCGGGACUUGGAGGCCAAGGAAGUGACCCCCCGCACCGCCCUGCUCACUUGGACUGAGCCCCCAGUCCGGCCCGCAGGCUACCUGCUCAGCUUCCACACCCCUGGUGGACAGACCCAGGUGCCCCGGCCCCACUGACCCAACUCCCCUCCCUGGGUGAUUCCAGGAGGUGCUGCCUCUGGCCCUCCCGGAGGGUCUCCACCUCCCUCUCCCCUGACCCCCCCUUGUCUGUCCCACAGGAGAUCCUGCUCCCAGGAGGGAUCACAUCUCACCAGCUCCUUGGCCUCUUUCCCUCCACCUCCUACAAUGCACGGCUCCAGGCCACGUGGGGCCAGAGCCUCCUGCCGCCCGUGUCCACCUCUUUCACCACGGGUGGGCUGCGGAUCCCCUUCCCCAGGGACUGCGGGGAGGAGAUGCAGAACGGAGCCGGUGCCUCCAGGACCAGCACCAUCUUCCUCAACGGCAACCGCGAGCGGCCCCUGAACGUGUUUUGCGACAUGGAGACUGAUGGGGGCGGCUGGCUGGUGUUCCAGCGCCGCAUGGAUGGACAGACAGACUUCUGGAGGGACUGGGAGGACUAUGCCCAUGGUUUUGGGAACAUCUCUGGAGAGUUCUGGCUGG
rnacentral:lncRNA from 1 species